GGCUGGAGUAUUUAUCACCCUUGUCUUUUGCGCACUUGUUGUUUCCUGGGCGGGUUCGCCCGCCACCAGGACCACCAUGAUAAACCUUUUUUAUGCAGUUGCAAUCAGCGUCAGUACAACCAAUGUAAAUCAUUUACAACUUUCAACAACGGAUCUCUUGGUUCUGGCAUCGAUGAAGAACGCAGCGAAAUGCGAUACGUAGUGUGAAUUGCAGAAUUCAGUGAAUCAUCGAAUCUUUGAACGCACAUUGCGCCCUUUGGUACUCCAAAGGGCAUGCCUGUUCGAGCGUCAUUUGUACCCUCAAGCUUUGCUUGGUGUUGGGCGUUUGUCUUUGGUUGCCAAAGACUCGCCUUAAAACGAUUGGCAGCCGGCCUACUGGUUUCGCAGCGCAGCACAUUUUUGCGCUUGCAAUCAGCAAAAGAGGACGGCACUCCAUCAAGACUCCUUCUCACGUUUGACCUCGGAUCAGGUAGGGAUACCCGCUGAACUUAAGCAUAUCAAUA
rnacentral:rRNA from 1 species